rnacentral:rRNA from 1 species
CCUACGGGUGGCUGCAGUGGGGAAUAUUGGACAAUGGGCGCAAGCCUGAUCCAGCAAUACCGCGUGUGUGAAGAAGGCCUUAGGGUUGUAAAGCCCUUUCACUGGGGAGGAAAACCUACCGGUCAAUACCCGGUAGCUUGACAUUACCUGUAGAAGAAGCACCGGCUAACUCCGUGCCAGCAGCCGCGGUAAUACGGAGGGUGCAAACGUUAAUCGGAGUUACUGGGCGUAAUGCGUGCGUAGGCAUGUCAAAGCCCCGGGCUUAACCUGGGAACUGCAGUUGAAACUGGCGGACUAGAGUUGAGUAGAGGGGAGUGGAAUUUCAGGUGUAGCGGUGAAAUGCGUAGAUAUCUGAAGGAACACCAGUGGCGAAGGCGACUCCCUGGACUCAAACUGACGCUGAGGUACGAAAGCGUGGGUAGCAAACAGGAUUAGAUAUCCCUGUAGUC